rnacentral:rRNA from 1 species
AGGGAAACCGAGUCUUAAUUGGGCGUUAAGUUGCAGGGUAUAGACCCGAAACCCGGUGAUCUAGCCAUGGGCAGGUUGAAGGUUGGGUAACACUAACUGGAGGACCGAACCGACUAAUGUUGAAAAAUUAGCGGAUGACCUGUGGCUGGGGGUGAAAGGCCAAUCAAACCGGGAGAUAGCUGGUUCUCCCCGAAAGCUAUUUAGGUAGCGCCUCGUGAAUUCAUCUCCGGGGGUAGAGCACUGUUUCGGCUAGGGGGCCAUCCCGGCUUACCAACCCGAUGCAAACUGCGAAUACCGGAGAAUGUUAUCACGGGAGACACACGGCGGGUGCUAACGUCCGUCGUGAAGAGGGAAACAACCCAGACCGCCAGCUAAGGUCCCAAAGUCAUGGUUAAGUGGGAAACGAUGUGGGAAGGCCCAGACAGCCAGGAUGUUGGCUUAGAAGCAGCCAUCAUUUAAAGAAAGCGUAAUAGCUCACUGGUCGAGUCGGCCUGCGCGGAAGAUGUAACGGGGCUAAACCAUGCAC